CAUCCUGGGGCUGUAGUCGGUCCCAAGGGUUGGGCUGUUCGCCCAUUAAAGCGGUACGCGAGCUGGGUUCAGAACGUCGUGAGACCGUUCGGUCCCUAUCCGUCGUGGGCGUAGGAAAUUUGAGAGGCGCUGUCCUUAGUACGAGAGGACCGGGAUGGACAUACCUCUGGUGUACCAGUUGUCGUGCCAACGGCAUAGCUGGGUAGCUAUGUA
rnacentral:rRNA from 1 species